rnacentral:rRNA from 1 species
AUUGAACGCUGGCGGCAUGCUUUACACAUGCAAGUCGAACGGCAGCGCGGGCUUCGGCCUGGCGGCGAGUGGCGAACGGGUGAGUAAUGCAUCGGAACGUGCCCAGUAGUGGGGGAUAGCCCGGCGAAAGCCGGAUUAAUACCGCAUACGACCUGAGGGUGAAAGCGGGGGACCGAAAGGCCUCGCGCUAUUGGAGCGGCCGAUGUCGGAUUAGCUAGUUGGUGGGGUAAAGGCUUACCAAGGCGACGAUCCGUAGCUGGUCUGAGAGGACGACCAGCCACACUGGGCCUGAGACACGGCCCAGACUCCUACGGGAGGCAGCAGUGGGGAAUUUUGGACAAUGGGGGCAACCCUGAUCCAGCCAUGCCGCGUGCGGGAAGAAGGCCUUCGGGUUGUAAACCGCUUUUGUUCGGGAAGAAAUCCUCUGGGCUAAUACCCCGGGGGGAUGACGGACCGGAAGAAUAAGCACCGGCUAACUACGUG